UACGGAGGGGGCUAGCGUUGUUCGGAAUUACUGGGCGUAAAGCGCACGUAGGCGGCUUUGUAAGUUAGAGGUGAAAGCCCGGGGCUCAACUCCGGAAUUGCCUUUAAGACUGCAUCGCUAGAAUUGUGGAGAGGUAAGUGGAAUUCCGAGUGUAGAGGUGAAAUUCGUAGAUAUUCGGAAGAACACCGGUGGCGAAGGCGGAUCUCUGGGCCUUACCUGACGCUCAGGUGCGAAAGCUAGGGGAGCGAACAGG
rnacentral:rRNA from 1 species